rnacentral:rRNA from 1 species
GGAAACAGUUGCUAAUACCCAAUGUGCCGAGAGGUGAAAGAUUUAUUGCCUGAAGAGGGGCUCGCGUCUGAUUAGCUAGUUGGUGGGGUAAAAGCCUACCAAGGCAACGAUCAGUAGCUGGUCUGAGAGGAUGAGCAGCCACACUGGGACUGAGACACGGCCCAGACUCCUACGGGAGGCAGCAGUGGGGAAUUUUCCGCAAUGGGCGAAAGCCUGACGGAGCAACGCCGCGUGAGGGAGGAAGGCCUUUGGGUUGUAAACCUCUUUUGUUAGGGAAGAAGAAAGUGACGGUACCUAACGAAUAAGCAUCGGCUAACUCCGUGCCAGCAGCCGCGGUAAUACGGAGGAUGCAAGCGUUAUCCGGAAUUAUUGGGCGUAAAGAGUCCGUAGGUGGUCUUAAAAGUCUGCUGUUAAAGAAUCAGGCUUAACCUGAUCAAAGCAGUGGAAACUGUAAGACUAGAGUACAGUAGGGGUAGCGGGAAUUCCCAGUGUAGCGGUGAAAUGCGUAGAGAUUGGGAAGAACAUCGGUGGCGAAAGCGCGCUACUGGGCUGAAACUGACACUAAGGGACGAAAGCUAGGGUAGCGAAAGGGAUUAGAUACCC